rnacentral:rRNA from 1 species
CGAAAGAGUGGCUAAUACCGGAUAUGACCACGUUCGGGCAUCCGACGGUGGUGGAAAGGAUUCUGGUCUGGGAUGGGCCCGCGGCCUAUCAGCUAGUUGGUGGGUAAUGGCCUACCAAGGCGACGACGGGUAGCCGGCCUGAGAGGGCGACCGGCCACACUGGGACUGAGACACGGCCCAGACUCCUACGGGAGGCAGCAGGUGGGGAAUAUUGCGCAAUGGGCGAAAGCCUGACGCAGCGACGCCGCGUGAGGGACGAAGGUCUUCGGAUUGUAAACCUCUUUCAGCAGGGACGAAGCGAAAGUGACUGUACCUGCAGAAGAAGCACCGGCUAACUACGUG